GAACACAGUCAAGGGCUGCUGUCCUCUCAUCCUUGGACAGUCCUGCACUGGUUUUCUGUUCAUCAUGGCAUUUGGUUCUGCAUGUCAGUGAAACUACUGAUGCCAGCUCAUCUGAAGGGCUCUGCAAGGCACCAACUCACCAAAGAAUGCAGUUUCGACAUCCUGAUGACUUCAUCCCUCUUACUGCCACCAAACUGUACCAACUUUCCAGCCACUCUAUCCACGAUCCCCUGAAAACUCUGAGUAAUCCUUGGGGAGAUGAAUUUGAGGAUCUCCUCCCAGCUUCUCAUUCAGCCACCCUGUGAUCAUUAAACUCUCUGCUGCAAACCCUGCUGUCUCAGAAUAUUGAUAAGCUACUGUGCAGCAGGCAUAGGAACCUGAUGGUCCUGUAAUAAAGUCACGUCAAAAUUACAAAGGGAAGUGAGGGUGGGGGCUGGGUAGGGUUGAGCUGGGUGUUUUAAUUGGAUCCUGGGAGUGAACCAAGACUUGGUAAACAUGUUGCGGGUUAUUGAGGUGGUGGAGGAGGAAUCUAUCCAACACUGCACUGAUGACCCCUUGGUUUUGAACCUUAUGAGCAAGGAUGAGUCUUUCAAAACAAUUUAUGUAAUCUUCCUUAUUUUUCCUUUCAAAUCUUUGUCUUCCUUUACCUCCCUGGAUAAUCUCACAUUUAUUCCCAUUGCUUUGCUCAUUUCAUAAUAAAAAUCCUUAUUUUUUU